AGGCACCAGCAGGAAGAGCCACCCGGGGAGGGCCGGGCUGAGACCGGUGUGGACGCUGCUGCCCAGUUCCCUUCCUUCCAAGGAAGAGGGUUAUUAAUUUUUUCUCUUUCUUUUCUUUCUUCUUUUUUUCCUCCUUUUCUUUCUUUUCUUUCUCUUCUUUGCAAGCCCCUUUUCUGGCUACUUGCAAUCUGCCCGUGCCUCCCGCAGCCCUGCCGAGCCGACGCAGGAAAGUGUUUAGAUUUGCCUGCCAGGCUGCCUGUUUGCAGGCGGACAGGGAUGCUUGGGGAUUUACGUUUAUUUUUUUUAUGAAUUAUUUUGUGUGUGUGUUUUGGCCAGCGUUCCCCAUCUGGGGUUGGGAGCAGCCCUGGGGUGAAGGCAGCGGCGAGCCCUCUUCCCCCAGCAAUUUUCGAUUGGGAAUUUCAGAGCCAGCGGGAGAAACGGCGCCUUGCUUUUAAGCACUGUUCACAUGAAAAGAAAUGCGUUUCCAGCCUGUCAGCCUAGGGACUGUUGAGGAAUGGUGGGUUCACCGGCAGCUGGGUGAUCGUGACUAAAACCUGCCUCCCGCGCUGUGCUGCUGGGGCUGGCACAUCCGUGCCAUUGCCGCACGCGCCGUGGGCAUGGCAGCAUACCCAUGGCACGGUGCCAUCGGCAGCCGUGGAGAAGCAGCGUGUCCCCUGCUGCCGGGUCACUGCUCCGCUCGCUUGGUUGCCGUCCAGCAGAGAUUUGCAGUGCCAAGUGUGAGGCUAGGUGGUCUGAAGGUCCUUCCUGCCAUUGGCAUGGAGGAGUUAUGAACUGCAGGACCCGUUUGGAAGCGAGGAGAUCUGCUUGCACGCUGUCCCUGCGCCCUGACACCCCCCAGGCUAUGUCGUUGACGUGUGAAAGAUGCCCCAGCUCUGGGUAACUGCCUCCAAGCCCCCUUCGGCGGCGGACAUGCCUGAGACCCCAGCCUGAAAUGUGAACCUCAGCAUUAGGAAGACUUGGGGCACCGGGUUGCGCAAGAGCCCAGCUCCCAGCCUCCUCACAGCGGUGGGGUAUUGCAUGCCAUGGUUUCUGUGUGUCUGGAAGUGAUUUGAAAAAGCCGAUCUGCUGUUAACCCUAAACAAAACAAAGGCCUUAAAAAAAAAUUAAAAAAAAUCUUGUCUCAUUCUUCAAUUGCUAGCCAGGAGCUACAGAGGUUUCGGGCUAGAUUUCCUUCACGUUCCUGGAGCCUCUCAUUAAUAUUUUGCAAGAGCAAAUCAGCACCAGUCCACGGGAGAGCCCGUACGGCUGCAAGAAGCCUCCUCUCUGCUCUUCCCCAUCCUGCCCUGGCUGUACAGCUGAGGAAGGUGCUGGAGCAUCGCCACGCCAGAGGAGCAGCCGUGUGCCGCUGGCCGGAGCUGAGCCCCCGAGCUGCUGGAGUCUUUGGCUCUUUGCUCCUGCCCUGGGAACAGCAAGGGGAAGACCCCCUGGUCCCGCUGCCUUGGACUCCUGGUGCUGUGAGGGACCCAGCCUCCUGCCUGUGUCUCGCAGCUGCUGCCCACCUUGAAAAGCAACUGGACCAAAAGCGGUCCCCAGCGCCCUUGGGGACAUUGCUGCAUGGGGACGCCCCGAUGGGGACCCAAUGGCUCUGGGGAUCCUGGGGAGGCGGUUGCCUGCUUUCUGAGCAUCACCCCAGCUGGGCCUGGAGGAAGAGGAGCCCUCUGUAGCAUCCCUGGAGGAAGGGGAGCCCUUUGCAGCAUCCCUGGAGGAAGAAGAGAACCUUUGCAGCAUCCCUGGAAGUGACAACCUUCUCCGAAGCUCGCAGCCCAUCUCCUUGCACAGGGGUCUGGUGGCCACCUCUGCUUCACCAAGGCUUUCAGCGUCCAGCAGAAAUGAUGAGGAUGUUGCAGAGAGCAACCUCACCUUCAUAUAGACAGGGAAACUCUCAGUGCCAAACCCAAGUGGAAGAGAGGAGUUUUGGCUCAGAGUGGGGCAGACGUUGCCAUGGCUCUGUGCCUCAGUUUCCCCGUGUGCUGUGCAGGGCACAGGGCAACCCAGCCUCUCCUCGGGCCCUUUAGAGACAACAAUCUCCCCAGCAAAGGGCAGGAUGUAUGGGGGUAAUUUUGACCGAGUGCUUCUUUCCUGAGAGAGAACAAUAAUAAUAAUUACAAUAAUAAUACUAAGAAUAAAGGAAAGGCCCUGAGAGCUUUCCCUCCCUGCAAGCAGAGGAAGACUUUUGCUUUUUGGUGCUGUACUGGGGACAUUAAGGGAAGGGAAAUGGGCAUGAAUGUGCUGCAUUUGCAGCUCAAAACCCCACGAACUGUGACAUCCCUCCCCUAAAUUGGCCUAAA